rnacentral:rRNA from 1 species
UGCAAGUCGAGCGAGAAAGCUCUCUUCGGAGAGUGAGUAGAGCGGCGCACGGGUGAGUAACGCGUGGAUGAUCUACCCUGAAGAUCGGGAUAACAGUUGGAAACGACUGCUAAUACCGUAUAAUCUGCAUAUUUAACUUUAUGUGGGAAAGGUGGCCUCUAUUUAUAAGCUACCACUUUUGGAUGAGUCCGCGUCUCAUUAGCUUGUUGGUGGGGUAAUGGCCUACCAAGGCAACGAUGAGUAGCUGGUCUGAGAGGAUGAUCNGCCACACUGGGACUGAAACACGGCCCAGACUCCUACGGGAGGCAGCAGUGUGGAAUAUUGCGCAAUGGGGGAAACCCUGACGCAGCGACGCCGCCUGUAGGANGAACGNUUUCGG